UACGAAGGGGGCUAGCGUUGCUCGGAAUCACUGGGCGUAAAGCGCACGUAGGCGGACUCUUAAGUCGGUGGUGAAAUCCUGGAGCUCAACUCCAGAACUGCCUUCGAUACUGGGAGUCUCGAGUCCGGGAGAGGUGAGUGGAACUGCGAGUGUAGAGGUGAAAUUCGUAGAUAUUCGCAAGAACACCAGUGGCGAAGGCGGCUCACUGGCCCGGUACUGACGCUGAGGUGCGAAAUCGUGGGGAGCAAACAGG
rnacentral:rRNA from 1 species